CUGAAGCAGUGAGAAAGUGGAAUUGACCAGGCUUGAGUUAACCUGAGCCACACCAGGAGGAGAAUGGUGUCAUCACUGGACAAAGGAAAAGGAGGAAGUUGCUGCAGAAAUGAAUUCACAUCAUCAGUCAUGGUUACCUAUACAAGACCUUCACAAGAUUAAAACAUACAAAAAUUCCAGAAUGGAAAGAUCUACUGUGAAUCCCAGGGUGUUCUGGAAUUUCAGAUCUUCCUACCUCUGCCUCUUGACUGCUGGGAUUACAGGUAGAUACCAUCAUUAUGCUUGAAUUAUGAAAAAUUUUUAUUAGAUUUGAUUUUUUGUCCGAUGAUUGAAUGAGUCACUGUCAUCUCUUGAAUCAAAUUAAGUAAAAAGUACAAAUCUAAGUUUGCAUAUUUUACUUUGCACAGGAAAUUUAAUUCUCAUGAAUCAAAUGCGUGCACAAGAUUUAAACCUUACAAUUAUGUAUUUGUACCUUGUAUGUGUAGAAAUAAAAUAUUGCAGUGAACUUUCUGUCUUUAUGAGAAAUGAUAGAUACAUCUUCACUCUGUGCCAAGCUGAGCAUGUCUGCACACCUCACUAAUGGCUCAUUUGGAAUAUAUCAUGUGCUAUCUGUAUGAUCUCCAAAAAUGUACAAAUGUUAUAUAAGCUAAAAUUUGCACUGUAAAUAAAUGACUCAGCUGUUGCAUAGUUGACAAUGUACCCAGGUAUUGGAAACAAACUUACAAAUAGUUGCUGGUCUUAAGGAGUUCAUCCAGUACUUGACUCUUUUGUCUGAAAAGUAUAUUUAAAAACAAGCAGAGGGUUUUUCUUUAGAUUUUGACAGAGCAAUAGACACAGUCAGUAUCACUUGCAUUUUGGCAGAGACUGGAAUGCCAGUAAAGGAAUGGGAGAGCUUUAGAGAGGCAAUAAGAGAAGUCCUGAUGUGCUCUGAUUUGAAACCAGUGGCACAGGGAGGCUGUAGGUUGAUGAUAGGUUAAGGGUUCGUUUCUGGUUACUCUGAAGAGUCAUAAGUUAAAAAUGGGGGUAUAAGUUAUGGAGACUUUUAGGCCCUGGACUUAGACAUCUGUUAUUGGGGAAAUCCUAUAGUGCUAAAAGAAAUAUUGAUUUAACUUCACAUAAAUUUUAUUUGCCAAGAGAGUAGAAUGUCUUCCUUGGCUGGUAACAACAGAGGGUGGGUUGAGUCACAGGGCAUGGCAUGGAUUGUGUUCUGAACUCUAUUUUUGUAUAUAGU